rnacentral:rRNA from 1 species
GAUGAACACUGGCGGCGUGCCUAAUACAUGCAAGUCGAGCGAACAGACGAGGAGCUUGCUCCUCUGACGUUAGCGGCGGACGGGUGAGUAACACGUGGAUAACCUACCUAUAAGACUGGGAUAACUUCGGGAAACCGGAGCUAAUACCGGAUAAUAUAUUGAACCGCAUGGUUCAAUAGUGAAAGACGGUUUUGCUGUCACUUAUAGAUGGAUCCGCGCCGCAUUAGCUAGUUGGUAAGGUAACGGCUUACCAAGGCAACGAUGCGUAGCCGACCUGAGAGGGGGAACGGCCACACUGGAACUGAGACACGGUCCAGACUCCUACGGGAGGCAGAAGUAGGGAAUCUUCCGCAAUGGGCGAAAGCCUGACGGAGCAACGCCGCGUGAGUGAUGAAGGUCUUCGGAUCGUAAAACUCUGUUAUUAGGGAAGAACAAAUGUGUAAGUAACUAUGCACGUCUUGACGGUACCUAAUCAGAAAGCCACGGCUAACUACGU